rnacentral:lncRNA from 1 species
AGUGGUUGCUUUGUCCCCUAUGGUCCCCCUUUGGUCUUACCAUGAAAAGCUUGGUAAUUCAAUGGCCAGGUGCUAUUGACAGCGACCCUGUGGGAUUUUUUUUUUACAUUAAUAUUUCUGAUCUGUGGUCAGGCCCUAUAACCAUCCAGGCUCUUUAAACAAGAAUUACCAGACCCUCUGUCUGAUUUGGACCAUCUGGCUUCGGGUCACCUGUAGCGUUCAUUGGCCACAGGUUCUUGGUGGCUCUGGGCAUAGCUGGAUAGUCCGCGUUUCUAACCAGCUUGUGAUCAGGCCGAGCGGCUGGACUCAGAUCACACUGCUUGACUAAGUUGGACUCUCCACAGACAUGACCUGGGCAUCAAGAAUCUCUUUAAAUUCCCCUGUGACUCCAGUGACCACCUGUUGCUAAAAAACCAUUUCAAAUCACCAACUGAUCACCUCGUCUGGUAUGCAUUCUGUGGUCUUGUUGUUCAGGGUCUGUGUUGUGAGUGACAGGACCUCUAGAAGUUCCAUUGCUCAUGAGAGACCAAUGGGAAGAAUUAGGAUGUCUAUGAAUUGAGUUUCUUUGAUUAAGUAUGCACCCAAUGUGUCCCCUAUGGGAAGAGAAGUCCUGGAUAGUGGGCAGAGUGAUCAUGAGCCAAAACAAGAACUAGCUUGCUCUCUUGUUGUGCUUGGUGGCAGACAGACUAGAGGAAGGUUAUGUGCAUCUGAAAUAAGAGCUCUCAGCGGUCAGCAAGUGGUACCUCUCCAGGAGAAUGUGUCAGGCCAUUGUACCUAGUGGUCAUCCUGAGUUUUCUUGACUGCCUAGCGAUGGCGUAGCUGGAGGCAGGAAGCCAGCUACCUCCAGAAGCAACAUUAGAGUUAUCAGAAACUCAGUUUUUAAAUGAAAAGCUACAGGUCAGGCAUAGAGAAGAACUAAAAUAUCUAAUAAGUGUGUGCUCGCCUCAACCGUGUUUCUCCGAGUGUAUUUAGACCUAUACUGAGUAUGUGCAAUGUGCCUGCAGUGCUGGGCAGUGAGUCCCUGUCAUUAGGGAGACAUCUGUGCUCACAGAGGCUGCUGACCUGGCCAUGUGGGUGAUGCUCCAAGGCACCGGAGUCCGUGAGAUAACGUCUUUAGGAUCCUGAGUGGUUAGCCGAGAUACUGUUUACAAAGGAGCAGCUCUUCUCUUUUGAUACUCUGUGCUCAUACCGAGCCCAAGCGACUCUUGACCGGUAAGAGGACAUUUGUGUCGAGGCAUAUAGAAUCACUAAACGCUUGCCUUUAGAGGUCACCCAAUCCAGGCCAUUUGCUCUGAGCAAGAAGAUACCAAAUCUACACAGGGUAAGCUAUAGAUGUGUGGCUAUAUGUGUGUGGCCCUCUGGCAGUGAAGCUGGAUGCCAAGCAGCUUCCCUGAGGACCCACCCAGUCCUUCACCUUCCUUGCCACCUUCAGAGAAAUGAAGCCAGCUCAGGAAACGUAUCUGGGUCCUUAGGACCAGGGGCCCUCCCUCUGAAGAGUUAAUGUUUUAAUUGGCCCAGCAGAGCUGAAGUCUGCAUGUGGGUAAGCGAGCACAGGUGGAGAAGCAGCAGCAGAAGAGAACCUUCUGGCCAGCACCUGCUACCUCAGCAGAUGCCACAGCAAAUGGGGACUGGGGACUGACUGUGACCAAGGGGAAGGGAGGGAUUCAGUGGCAUUGUCCUCUGGGUCCUCUAUGGGCAGCAGGGCAGAUGUAUACUUUUAGAGAGGGAUGGGCUGACUUUUUCUGCAAACCCCAUGAUGGGGCAUUCCCUGGGGAAGCCAUGGGUCAAAUACCCUAAGAGAAAAGGCUGGUGGGGGAUAGAGAAAUGGCUUUGCAACAAAGAAAUGAGCUGGGCUGAGAAGUUUCCCCACCUAACUACCCAGACCUGGGAAGGUGACCGCAAGGCAGGGUGAGAUGCCAUGGAAGCUCUGGUGGGAGUUUGGUCAGUUGGGCUGUCCGUGGGGAGUGGCCAGAGGAGCUUGUGUGCCUGACUUUAUUAAGGAGACCGGCUCAGGGCUGUGCUCCCAGGGCCCCUCCUGCAUAACUCGGGGUUCCUCUGCCUAGUGUCACGAGGAAUGAGAAAAGCCGAGAACUUGAAGCAGUGUGUAGUUUUGGCCUUUUCUGGAGCAGCUGCCCCUGCUACAGGGGUCUGAGGAGAACUCCAGGACCUGGAUUACAGUAUGAACUGUGUGUGGCAGUUUUCUAUGGGGUGCAGGCCUGCCUUGCCGACUCCUGUGAGAGAGCCUUCUCUGGCCUGCGUGAGUCAGGAGAUUCAUGAAAUAAAGGGGUCUAUAGACUGGAUUUAAGGCCCCUUGGUUUGACCAGUUGCCAACCAUGCGCACGAGACUUUUAAGCAAGGGAAUCCCACCUCCUCUGCGUUAUGAGGUAGUACUGAGUGUUAUCACAGAGUGGGUUCACAGACUGUGCAGUAGCUGAAGCACCUAGGAAUGUGUCUUGUCCAAGAGGCUCUUAGAUGGUAGCCAUUAUGAAAACAAGAAUACUUUGUUUG